rnacentral:tRNA from 1 species
ACCGGUUUGGCUCAGUAGAUAGAGCGUCGGCCUGUGGACUGAAAGGUCUCGGGUUCGAUUCCGGAAGCGGUU